ACCAAAGGGAAGGUUGCUGGGGCCUGAGGGUGGAGUUAAGCAGCCAGGUUUGAGAUAAAACCAGACAUGUUGGUCUUGGGGGAGCUUUUUGGCUUCAGGGCUCUUGGCUUGCGGCCAGCUCUCAUAGUACUAUUGGGUUUCCAGGUUGGCGGAUCAGAAAUUUAACUCAAGAGCUGAAGAAGGAAGGAAGCAGGAUGGAGCCGGAAGGAGAACUUGAGCAGGCACAUGGAGCCAAGAGACACAUGAAGAAACUGCGCUUGCUUCUUGGUUGUGGACUGGACACAGAUGUGGGCUGCUGCUUCUCCCAGCCCAAAUCCACUCCUCCCUAAGGUGGGGAAGGAAAUUUGGAGCCUUCCCUGUCUGUGGAUGUCACACUGUCACAGCAUCAUGUCUCCCUCUCACAGGCUCUGUGGGGUGGUGCAGCCUUGAU